UGUGUGUGUGUGUGUGUGUGUGUGUGUGUGUGUGUGUGUGUGUUUCCAUUAAAGAUAUAGUGCAACUGGGUUUUUAAGAUUUAAGUUAUAAAAAUAAUUUACUUCAGCACCACUAUCAUUCCUUAGCAUUUAGAUAAGGGAUUCAUAAAAAGGUGUUGCCAAUAUGAUCAAAAUUCAUGCUGCCUGGAAACAAUUUAUAAUUUCAACACCUGAGGGGGAGAAAUUCAAGGGAUCGAAUGCUAUGACAACAUUUGGUAGAUCUGAAAGUGAUUUACAAGAAAUCUUAAGAAUGCUAAUGCAAGAUGGGUCACAGGUAAUCUCAAAACCUCACGCAUGCACAUACACACGCUUCCUCCUGUAGUUAGUCAGCAUGACAGCAAUGAAGGAAAAGACUAUUCACUAUGAAAUUUCCCACCAGAUAAAUAUGUCCUCUUUAUUAAAAUGAGCUGUAAUUUUGCAACAUGUUAGAAAAUAAACCUACAUAUAUUCACUGUUAGAAUGGUCUCUCACUGCCAGAUUGUUUGGGUUUAUCUUCCUCUUUCGUGUUUAUAUUCCCAUAGGAGGUUACAGGCAGAGAGGUGCUAUGCAGGUAACUUUUUCAUUAUUUUUUCAUCUCUUUUACAGACUUUUGUUGGCGUCUUGGAUUUGUUCAUCUCGUGUGAUAAUUUUUUGUGUACUCACCUACUGCUUGUACUUUGGAUAUCCUACUUUCUACUCCCUCAGAAAGACUGUUGCCUGUUGCACUGAUCAUCCAUGUGCCUGACCUCUGCCUGCUUCAUGAAAGCCCACUUUCCUGCUGAUACAAACUCUGCUAAAAACUGUGCACAUGGUAAUUUGGUUUGUUGUUGCCAUUGUUGUGGUUCUCUGCAUAGGGUCCUCUGCCUAAACCAUUACACACUGGAGUGUGCUUGUGGUAGCGAAAUGAACAUUCAGUUCAUGGCCAACAACUCUGGUGGACAUUUCUGCAUUUAGCAUGUCGAUUAUAUGCUGUCUCUCUCUCUCCAAAUGACAUCUGUGGCUUUGUGUUGUUUGAUAAAACUGCAAAUGUUAGAGUUGGAUUUUGCUGUGAACAGUCCAAGGAACCCGUGUGCAAUAAUCAUGCCGUUUAAUCAGGAUCUUAAUAUGUCACACACAGGUGGAUGGAUUACUGUAUCUUAGCAAUGGUCAAGAGCUCAAUAACAGGUUUUAACAAAUUAAUUGACAAAAUUUGAGAGAAAUAUUUUUUGUUGGUGGUGGUGAACAGAAGACAUUUUACAUAUUUUCUUCAGUGCAUGGAAAAUGGGAAUAAAAUAAAAGUGUUGCAUUUAUAGUUUCGUCGAGUAUAG